rnacentral:rRNA from 1 species
GUUAAUAUUCCAAUACUUCUGUGUAAUGCGAUGAGAGGACGGAGAAGGUUAAGUCAGCCUGGCGUUGGUUGUCCAGGUGGAAGGUUGUAGGCAUGCAUCUUAGGCAAAUCCGGGGUGCUCUAUGCUGAGAACUGAUAGCAAGCUGUACUUGUACAGUGAAGUGGCUGAUACCAUGCUUCCAGGAAAAGUCUCUAAGCUUCAGUUACACAGGAAUCGUACCCGAAACCGACACAGGUGGUCAGGUCGAGUAGACCAAAGCGCUUGAGAGAACUCUGCUGAAGGAACUAGGCAAAAUGGUACCGUAACUUCGGGAGAAGGUACGCUGCUUUUGGUGAUGGAACUUGCUUCCUGAGCUGAGAGCAGCCACAGAAACCAGGCCCCUGCAACUGUUUAUUAAAAACAUAGCACUCUGCAAACACGAAAGUGGACGUAUAGGGUGUGAUGCCUGCCCGGUGCUGGAAGGUUAAUUGAUGGGGUUAGCGUAAGCGAAGCUCUUGAUCGAAGCCCCAGUAAACGGCGGACGUAACUAUAAC